rnacentral:lncRNA from 1 species
AAACACCUAACUCUUUUCAGGAGGGAGGAAGGGAGGGAAGGAUGAAAUAAUGUUGCCUUAGAGCAAUUUCUCCCUUGUCAUCCCUUUUCCCCUUACAGUUUGCUGUCACUAGUGACCAUGGGCCAGACUGUGCACUUCUAAGAAUCCUUCAGAUGGAGUCAGUGGGACUGCUCACAUGAACUUCUGCCUUCCUACAUGUGAACUUCAAAGCCUUUGAUAGUCAUGAAGCAUCAGAGGAGCCUUUAUGCUAAGUAAAACCUGUGUGAAAAGAGCGCUGCUUCUGAUCCCAUCAGGAGCUGCUAUAUAUUUCACUCCUUCUUAUGUUUUUCAUCCUCUCAGCCUGGAUAAAGCAGUCAGUCUGCAUUUGUUUGGGUGGUCAUGGCCAUACCUUUACUAUGCUGUGCGCUGUCAGAGUGGAGAAGCUGCAGCCUAACAGGACAGGCCGUGGUGUAGCCAGAGGAAGUGCUGAAGUAGUACAGGCACCUCAAGAGAAAAUGCCUAUGAAGAGCAAGCAAAUAGCAUUGGGGACCUUGCUGGGAGAAGGCAGUAAGUCUACUGUGUGCUUCCUGCAGGGAGACUGCAGGUGAGCCACCACUGGUAGCACAAAGAGCUGCAGGUCAACAUGGG